GACGAACGCUGGCGGCGUGCUUAACACAUGCAAGUCGAGCGGUAAGGCCCCUUCGGGGGUACGACGAGCGGCGAACGGGUGAGUAACACGUGGGUGACCUGCCCUCAGCUCUGGGAUAAGCCUGGGAAACUGGGUCUAAUACCGGAUAUGACUCCAUGACGCAUGUUGUGGGGUGGAAAGCCUUGUGCGGCUGGGGAUGGGCCCGCGGCCUAUCAGCUUGUUGGUGGGGUGAUGGCCUACCAAGGCGACGACGGGUAGCCGGCCUGAGAGGGCGACCGGCCACACUGGGACUGAGACACGGCCCAGACUCCUACGGGAGGCAGCAGUGGGGAAUCUUGCGCAAUGGGCGAAAGCCUGACGCAGCGACGCCGCGUGAGGGAUGACGGCCUGUGUACU
rnacentral:rRNA from 1 species